GCACCCGUAGCUCAGCUGGAUAGAGCGUUGGUUUCCGGUACCAAAGGUCGUGCGUUCGAAUCGCGCCGGGUGUACCA
rnacentral:tRNA from 1 species